CAGUCGCCGCGGGAAUACAGAGGUCUCAAGCGUUGUUCGGAUUCAUUGGGCGUAAAGGGUGCGUAGGUGGCUUGGUAAGUUGAAGGUGAAAUCUCGGGGCUUAACUCCGAAACUGCCUUCAAUACUGCUGAGCUCGAGGAUUGUAGAGGAGAAUGGAAUUCACGGUGUAGCAGUGAGAUGCGUAGAUAUCGUGAGGAAGACCAGUGGCGAAGGCGAUUCUCUGGGCAAUUCCUGACACUGAGGCACGAAGGCCAGGGGAGCAAACGGGAUUAGAUACCCGCGUAGUCCCUGUCUCUUAUAC
rnacentral:rRNA from 1 species